GCACUUUAAGCAGUGAAGAAGACUCUGUGGUUAAUACCCACAGACGAUGACAUUAGCUGCAGAAUAAGCACCGGCUAACUCUGUGCCAGCAGCCGCGGUAAUACAGAGGGUGCAAGCGUUAAUCGGAAUUACUGGGCGUAAAGGGAGCGUAGGUGGCUCGAUAAGUCAGAUGUGAAAUCCCCGGGCUCAACCUGGGAACUGCAUCUGAAACUGUUGAGCUAGAGUAUGUGAGAGGAAGGUAGAAUUCCAGGUGUAGCGGUGAAAUGCGUAGAGAUCUGGAGGAAUACCGAUGGCGAAGGCAGCCUUCUGGCAUAAUACUGACACUGAGGCUCGAAAGCGUGGGUAGCAAACAGGAUUAGAUACCCUGGUAGUCCACGCCGUAAACGAUGUCUACUAGUCGUUGG
rnacentral:rRNA from 1 species